CCUACGGGAGGCAGCAGUGAGGAAUAUUGGUCAAUGGACGAGAGUCUGAACCAGCCAAGUAGCGUGAAGGAUGACUGCCCUAUGGGUUGUAAACUUCUUUUAUAUGGGAAUAAAAUGUUCCACGUGUGGGAUUUUGUAUGUCCCAUAUGAAUAAGGAUCGGCUAACUCCGUGCCAGCAGCCGCGGUAAUACGGAGGAUCCGAGCGUUAUCCGGAUUUAUUGGGUUUAAAGGGAGCGUAGGUGGAUUGUUAAGUCAGUUGUGAAAGUUUGCGGCUCAACCGUAAAAUUGCAGUUGAAACUGGCAGUCGUGAGUACAGUAGAGGUGGGCGGAAUUCGUGGUGUAGCGGUGAAAUGCGUAGAUAUCACGAAGAACUCCGAUUGCGAAGGCAGCUCACUGGACUGCAACUGACACUGAGGCUCGAAAGUGUGGGUAUCAAACAGGAUUAGAUACCCCAGUAGUC
rnacentral:rRNA from 1 species